GUUUCUGUUCGAAGGAAACACAAAUAUACACACGGAAUUGCACGAACUCUGUUUACAAUACUCUUCGGUUGGAAGUGAGCACAUCAGAAAAAAAUGUCUAAUAAAGCAAGAUAAAAUGGAGAAAAGUUGUUUCGGUGGAGUUGUGUGCAAUUGGGGUGGAACCCUGGAUUAGAAUCACCUACCAUACCCGCAGCGCUGCGUGCUGGACCUGUACAGGGCAUCGAAGGAAGGAGCACUCCAGUUGAGAAUUUUGAUGCCCUAAAUAUGACUCACCAACAACAAAACUGCAACUGGGAACCAGCUGUCCCUGAAAUGGGACAAGACCACAUUCUGCAGUGAUGCUUCUGGUGAGGGGCUCCUUGUGGACACACAAGGAUGCACAGAUGCAAGUGUGCCCACGCCUGGGGGUUGGAUGAUUGCUGUUCAUUGUAGCAGCUUUAUGAAAACAUUAAAUGUCAUUACUUAUUUCUUC